ACCUACGUGAGAGGAGGAGGAGGCAGCGCAGCCGCCCAGGUGUCACUCGCCCGCCCGCCCGGCACGGCUCGGCCCAGCCCUGCCCUCCCCUCCCCUCUCCGCCUCCGCCUCCUCCUCCUCCGCCGCCGCCUCCCGGGCCGCGCUCACCCGGCGGCCUUGGCCCGCCCCGCCGGAGGAGCCGCGGGGACUGGGGCGCGUCCCGGCCUCGACCUCCCGCUGCCCUCAGCCUUGGAGUUGCUCAUUCUGCAGACAAGAGAGUCAUGAAGUAAUAAAGAAGAUGACGUUCUGACAAUAAAGAAAAUAGAACUUUAAACCUGCAGUUUAGAGGAGGAUUUAUUAGGAAGAGAACCUUUGUACACUGAGAGUGAGGGAAAUUUUCCAGUGAGCUGUGCUUGGGUGUGAGUGAGAGAUCUUUGUGUUGCACAGCCCAGGCAAAAGCAGCCACAUCUUAAAUAAGGCUUGGCCUGGUGACAUGAAGUCUUUGCUGUAUUACUGGUUCCUACCUGCUCCUGUUCCUGCCCUGGAAACAAGGCACACCAAGCCUUAGCUCUGCACUGUGAACCAGAACAGGACACUGAUCCAGCAGAAAAACAAACCAGGAGUGGACUUGAUCUUUGUGGUGCUUAGCCCAAAAGCCUGACUCUCCUCUCUUAUUAAUUUCUUGAAGAAAAGAGAUAAGCCUUGUUUUCUGUGGUUUAACUAUGAUGCCCCAGCUGAUAUUUUGCCAAAUUCUGCCCUGAUGUCCACAUGGAUCAAUUACACACCCAUGGAUAUCUGGUAGUGAUGAUCUCUUUUUGGAGCAUCUGGACUCACUGCAACACUGAGAGGUGUAAAUGUGAGAUCAAAACAACAGAGUUUUGAAGGAAUGCAGAAGGAAGAUGUGAGUUCAGAUGUAAAUAUUUCAGCCAUCCCUAUUCCAAUGGGGGCAAUUCCUUGAUUUCUCCUUGGUGAUUCUCUCCUGUGGAUGAUGCUCAAGUCUGUGACAGUUUCGAAAUCCCUGCCCCGGAGAGCAAAUUCUGUGAGUUCCUUUGCUGAAUGAGCAGGGGCUUUUGGAGAAAGAUGUGAAAGAG